GCUUCGUUGGUUUAAUUCUAAAAGCGCGCCUCCACGAGGAGGUGAGAUGCGGGUUCAAGCCCUGCGCGAAGCA
rnacentral:tRNA from 1 species